rnacentral:tRNA from 1 species
AGUGAUGUGGCUCAGAGGUAGAGCACUCACCUGGCACAUGUAAGGGCCUGGGUUCAGUCCCCAGCACUG